rnacentral:misc_RNA from 1 species
UCCGGUUUGACACCGGCAGUCUCCCUAGAGUGCCCGGCAUAACCCGCUGGUAACUAGGGACGAGGGUUGCGCUCGUUGCGGGACUUAACCCAACAUCUCACGACACGAGCUGACGACAGCCAUGCAGCACCUGUGUUACGGUUCCCUUUCGGGCACCCUCACAUCUCUGCGAGGUUCCGUACAUGUCAAGCCCAGGUAAGGUUUUUCGCGUUGCAUCGAAUUAAUCCACAUCAUCCACCGCUUGUGCGGGUCCCCGUCAAUUCCUUUGAGUUUUAAUCUUGCGACCGUACUCCCCAGGCGGUCGACUUCACGCGUUAGCUGCGGUACUAAGGAAGUCUCCUUCCCCAGCACCUAGUCGACAUCGUUUAGGGCGUGGACUAC